GUGAAAACCUAGAUGAAGGUGAGACCUCAAGAACAUCCUUGGCGCUGGCCCAAAAUGGAGCUGCUGGGAUUGUUAAUGAUGGGAGAAAGAAGUUCAUGGACAUGAAGGUGGAGAAUCUAGUGAGGCCCAAAUCGAUUCUCAGCCGAUUGUUGCAAAUCAAAUAAACAAUAAGGCUGAAACUAAGCCUUAAGAUAGUGUCCAGGGAAGUGAAGUAGAUGAACCUCAACUGUAGG
rnacentral:lncRNA from 1 species